GACGAACGCUGGCGGCGUGCUUAACACAUGCAAGUCGAACGGAAAGGCCCUGCUUUUGUGGGGUGCUCGAGUGGCGAACGGUUGAGUAACACGUGAGUAACCUGCCCUUGACUUUGGGAUAACUUCAGGAAACUGGGGCUAAUACCGGAUAGGAGCUCCUGCUGCAUGGUGGGGGUUGGAAAGUUUCGGCGGUUGGGGAUGGACUCGCGGCUUAUCAGCUUGUUGGUGGGGUAGUGGCUUACCAAGGCUUUGACGGGUAGCCGGCCUGAGAGGGUGACCGGCCACAUUGGGACUGAGAUACGGCCCAGACUCCUACGGGAGGCAGCAGUGGGGAAUAUUGCACAAUGGGCGGAAGCCUGAUGCAGCAACGCCGCGUGCGGGAUGACGGCCUUCGGGUUGUAAACCGCUUUCGCCUGUGACGAAGCGUGAGUGACGGUAAUGGGUAAAGAAGCACCGGCUAACUACGUGCCAGCAGCCGCGGUGAUACGUAGGGUGCGAGCGUUGUCCGGAUUUAUUGGGCGUAAAGGGCUCGUAGGUGGUUGAUCGCGUCGGAAGUGUAAUCUUGGGGCUUAACCCUGAGCGUGCUUUCGAUACGGGUUGACUUGAGGAAGGUAGGGGAGAAUGGAAUUCCUGGUGGAGCGGUGGAAUGCGCAGAUAUCAGGAGGAACACCAGUGGCGAAGGCGGUUCUCUGGGCCUUUCCUGACGCUGAGGAGCGAAAGCGUGGGGAGCGAACAGGCUUAGAUACCCUGGCAGUCCACGCUGUAAACGGUGGGUACUAGGUGUGGGGUCCAUUCCACGGGUUCCGUGCCGUAGCUAACGCUUUAAGUACCCCGCCUGGGGAGUACGGCCGCAAGGCUAAAACUCAAAGGAAUUGACGGGGCCCCGCACAAGCGGCGGAGCAUGCGGAUUAAUUCGAUGCAACGCGUAGAACCUUACCUGGGUUUGACAUGGAUCGGGAGCGCUCAGAGAUGGGUGUGCCUCUUUUGGGGUCGGUUCACAGGUGGUGCAUGGCUGUCGUCAGCUCGUGUCGUGAGAUGUUGGGUUAAGUCCCGCAACGAGCGCAACCCUUGUUCACUGUUGCCAGCACGUUAUGGUGGGGACUCAGUGGAGACCGCCGGGGUCAACUCGGAGGAAGGUGGGGAUGACGUCAAGUCAUCAUGCCCCUUAUGUCCAGGGCUUCACGCAUGCUACAAUGGCUGGUACAGAGAGUGGCGAGCCUGUGAGGGUGAGCGAAUCUCGGAAAGCCGGUCUCAGUUCGGAUUGGGGUCUGCAACUCGACCUCAUGAAGUCGGAGUCGCUAGUAAUCGCAGAUCAGCAACGCUGCGGUGAAUACGUUCCCGGG
rnacentral:rRNA from 1 species